rnacentral:lncRNA from 1 species
AUUCAAUACUGCUCUCUGGCUAAUGGCGGCCGGCUUUCCUCCUUCCUUCCGCCAUCCUGCUUUUCCCUGGUUGUCGCUGGGAGCCGAGAGGCAGCCCCGGGCCCUAACAGCCUGCCAGGUCUUGGCCGGAGACCGGAGCCAUGUCUGUGUUAUCCCCACUGUAGACAAUCCUUGCUUCCUCUGGACAUCUGGAGCAGGCCCAAUUUGACUGAGAGCCUUCCCCCACUAAGUUACAGAUCCAGCCCCACCAUCACCACCAGAGUUGAGUCCAAAUCCAACACUCUAGGCCGGGUAGUGCUGGGACUUUGCCAGCCUCCUGCUGAGCCAGCCAGCCUCCUGGGUCGAGAGCCAAGCCAAAAGAUGUCUGAGAGAAGAAACCUGGGGUCCUGCAAAGGUAAGUGGGUCCCAGCCCACUCUCAAUCCCCCUCUCUCUGUGUGAUUGCUAUUCCACACUGGAGUCACCUGCUCUGUGCUUCUGAGGAACCUCACCUCUGGCACAUCAAUGGAAAUUGUCCUUCCCUUUUUAUUUAUUUUUAUUUAUUUUUUAUUUUUUGCCACCCUCACUGGCCACUAAGAGAUAGCCCUAGCUCCUCCUCUCCUGCCUGGUUUUGACAGGACUCACUCCAUUGAGUCCUGUCUCGUCUCUUUGCAGCCCUCCUCCUCCCCCCCCCCCCCCUUCAGCCAGCACUUAGGCCCUCCCUGAUUUAGCCCGUUACCUUGACAACCACUUGGGCCUGUCUCCCUCAUCACCACUGAAAACCUGAAGGUGGUUUUCCAGCUGCGGUACAUUUGCCCAAGUUGGGCACCCCUCCAGCUUCUAUUGGCUCGCCCUCUAUACAGCUGUACCCAAUAUAACAAACACAACCUUCCUGGCCCCUCAGCUGUAGUCUCGAAAUUGAUCUCACUGGUCCCGGGAACUCCGUCAAUACUGCCUCCUCUAGACUGAGCUCCUCACAGGCAGGAACAUGGUUGUUUCUCAAUAAACAAGUUGCAAAAAAA